rnacentral:rRNA from 1 species
ANNUCNUUCUGCCCUAUGAUUUAUUAAAUGGCCGCGGUACCCUGACCGGGCUAAGGUAGCNNANUAAUUUGCCUCUUAAUUAGAGGCUGGAAUGAAGGAACAUACUAUAGUAAAACUGUUUCAUUUUUACCUAAUGAAAACUAACCUCUAGAUGAAGAGAUCUAGAUAACUAAGAAAGACAAUUAGACCCUAUUGAGCUUUACCCUACCAGAAUUCCCCCAAAGUGAAUCUAUUUAAUAAAUUCUGAGCGGGUUUUGUUGGGGCGACAGAAGAAGAACUAAAUCUUCUUUAUUUAAUGAGGUAAUAAACCUAAUAAUGAUCCGGAACCCCCGAUUAAAAGAUUCAGCUACCAUAGGGAUAACAGGCUAAUUCUUUCCGAGAGCCCAUAUUGACGAAAGAGAUUGGCACCUCGAUGUUGGCUUAGGACAUCUAGUAAAUGCAGAAGUUUAUUAAGUAGGUUUGUUCAACCUUUAAAGUCCUACAUGAUCUGAGUUCAAACCGGAGA